AUUGAACGCUGGCGGCAUGCUUUACACAUGCAAGUCGAACGGUAACAGGGUGCUUGCACCGCUGACGAGUGGCGAACGGGUGAGUAAUGCGUCGGAACGUGCCGAGUAGUGGGGGAUAACGCAGCGAAAGUUGUGCUAAUACCGCAUACGUACUGAGGUAGAAAGUGGGGGACCUUCGGGCCUCACGCUAUUCGAGCGGCCGGCGUCUGAUUAGCUAGUAGGUGAGGUAAAGGCUCACCUAGGCGACGAUCAGUAGCGGGUCUGAGAGGAUGAUCCGCCACACUGGGACUGUGACACGGCCCAGACGCCUACGGGAGGCAGCAGUGGGGAAUUUUGGACAAUGGGCGAAAGCCUGAUCCAGCCAUGCCGCGUGUCUGAAGAAGGCCUUCGGGUUGUAAAGGACUUUGGUCAGGGAGGAAAUCCCUAGUGCUAAUAACACUGGGGGAUGACAGUACCUGAAGAAUAAGCACCGGCUAACUACGUGCCAGCCGCCGCAGUAA
rnacentral:rRNA from 1 species